UGGGGAAUAUUGCGCAAUGGAGGCAACUCUGACGCAGCCAUGCCGCGUGUGUGAAGAAGGCCCUCGGGUUGUAAAGCACUUUCAAUUGGGAGAAAAAGCUUGUCGUUAAUAGCGGCAAGCCUUGAUGUUACCUUUAGAAGAAGCACCGGCUAACUCCGUGCCAGCAGCCGCGGUAAUACGGAGGGUGCGAGCGUUAAUCGGAAUUACUGGGCGUAAAGAGCUCGUAGGCGGUCCGUUGCGUCUGCCGUGAAAACCCGGAGCUCAACUCCGGGCCUGCGGUGGAUACGGGCGGACUAGAGUCCGGUAGGGGAGACUGGAAUUCCUGGUGUAGCGGUGGAAUGCGCAGAUAUCAGGAGGAACACCGGUGGCGAAGGCGGGGUCUCUGGGCCGGAACUGACGCUGAGGAGCGAAAGCGUGGGGAGCGAACAGGAUUAGAUACCCUGGUAGUCCACACCGUAAACGGUGGGCGCUAGGUGUGGGGAUCGUUUGCCACGAUCUCCGUGCC
rnacentral:rRNA from 1 species